GGGCCCGUAGCUCAGCGGUAGAGCGCCCGGCUGUUAACCGGAAGGUCGUGGGUUCGAGUCCCACCGGGCCCG
rnacentral:tRNA from 1 species